CUGAAGGAAGCUGGAACCCGGAUGGGCUUUUCCAAUUGCAGCUGGAGCCAAAGAGGAAAGGCAGCUCUUGCCAAGGAUGGUCUCCAAAGCAGAAAGAAAAACACCCUGCUUUCUUCUUCUUUCUCUGCCUCCAGUCAGGAUAUGUGCUGCCAAGCUACAGGAUGCUGAUAACAUCAUUCUCAAUUAGGAUUGAAGAAGUGUACCUAACACACAGGAAAACACAGUUCCCGACAGCCAAAGUGCCUCAAUUUAUGUAAAACAGAAAGAUUUUCUUCACUGUCAGGUUUCCUGCCUCUCACUUCACUCCCACAGCUGUGUGCUUGAAUAUUCAGCAGCAAGGUUAGAAGGAGGAGCCGAUUAGCUUUUGGGGAGGUGGGGGUG
rnacentral:lncRNA from 1 species